CGGGACGGGUGAGUAACGCGUGGAAAACCUGCCGUAUACUGGGGGAUAACACUUAGAAAUAGGUGCUAAUACCGCAUAAGCGCACAGCUUCGCAUGAAGCAGUGUGAAAAACUCCGGUGGUAUACGAUGGUUCCGCGUCUGAUUAGCUAGUUGGUGAGGUAAAAGCCCACCAAGGCGACGAUCAGUAGCCGGCCUGAGAGGGUGAACGGCCACAUUGGGACUGAGACACGGCCCAGACUCCUACGGAAGGCAGCAG
rnacentral:rRNA from 1 species